GCUCGCUUCGGCAGCAUUUACUAAAAUUGGAAUGAUACAGAGAAGAUCAGUAUGGAGGACAGGAAAAUUCGUGAAGUUUUCUAUAAUUUU
rnacentral:snRNA from 1 species